UAAGUAGCGGAGGAAAAGAAACUAAAUAGGAUUCCCUCAGUAAUGGCGAAUGAACAGGGAUGAGCUCAGCAUGGAAAUUGGGGCCCUGUGGCCUUGAAUUGUAGUCUGGAGAUGUACCACCAACUGGGGCGCAGAUGUAAGCCUCUUGGAAAAGAGCAUCAAUGAGGGUGAGAGUCCCGCUUGGCAUCUGCAGUCCCCAGUGCACGGUGUACCUUCUAAGAGUCACGUUCCUCGGGAUUGGAGCGCAAAUCGGGUGGUAAGUUUCAUCUAAAGCUAAAUAUAGUUUCGAGACCGAUAGCAAACAAGUACCAUGAGGGAAAGGUGAAAAGGACUUUGAAAAGAGAGUUAAAAGUGCCUGAAAUUGCUGAAAGGGAAGCGAAUGGAAUCAGCGUAACUUGGUGAGAUUGCUGCGUGUCAGUGUGAUUGCUUGCUGCUUCAACGUAAGUGUGGUAGUAAGUCUUGAACAGGACAUGCGUGGUGCUUCUUGCCUUGUGUGUCACCGUCAGUUCGCAUCUGGGGAAAACUUCAAAGACAUGGUAGCCUGUCUCCGGGUGGGUGAAUGUGUUGCUGGAACUCAUGUGCGGAUUGCUUGGUGACUAAAUGGUUCCAUCUGACCCGUCUGACG
rnacentral:rRNA from 1 species